rnacentral:sRNA from 1 species
AGAUGUGAGGGCGAUCUGGCUGCGACAUCUGUCACCCCAUUAAUUGCCAGGGUUGAUUUGGCUGUGUCUGGCUAGGCGGGUAUCCCCUUCUUCCCUCACCUCUCCAUGUGCAUCCCUCCCGAAGUUGCAUGGGGGAGCCGGGGGGACUACCACCCCCACCCUCAUGGAAGAGGACUGUUUCUCCCCCAUGCUCUCCCCUGCUAGAGCUGCUAGAGUCCUGAAAGACUUUUAUUGUUCCCAAACUAAAAGUUAGAGAGAGGCAUAGUGCUUU